rnacentral:tRNA from 1 species
UCUCAGAUAGCUUAACCCAAAGCACUGGUCUUGUAAACCAAAGAUAUUUCCUUAUUCAAAGCCAUGAA